rnacentral:rRNA from 1 species
GAAGGUCAGGCUGAAGACCUUACCCGAUUAGCUGAGAGGUGGUGCAUGGCCGUCGUCAGUUCGUACUGUGAAGCAUCCUGCUAAGUCAGGCAACGAGCGAGACCCACGUCCACAGUUGCCAGCAUACCCUCCGGGGUGAUGGGUACACUGUGGAGACCGCCGCUGCUAAAGCGGAGGAAGGAGUGGGCAACGGUAGGUCAGUAUGCCCCGAAUCUCCCGGGCUACACGCGGGCUACAAUGGUUGGUACAAUGGGCAUCUACCCCGAAAGGGGAAGGAAAUCUCUUAAAGCCAAUCGUAGUUCGGAUUGAGGGCUGCAACUCGCCCUCAUGAAGCUGGAAUCCGUAGUAAUCGCGUUUCAACAGAACGCGGUGAAUACGUCCCUGCUCCUU